rnacentral:rRNA from 1 species
GACGAACGCUGGCGGCGUGCUUAACACAUGCAAGUCGAACGGAAAGGCCCUGCUUUUGUGGGGUGCUCGAGUGGCGAACGGGUGAGUAACACGUGAGUAACCUGCCCUUGACUUUGGGAUAACUUCAGGAAACUGGGGCUAAUACCGGAUAGGAGCUCCUGCUGCAUGGUGGGGGUUGGAAAGUUUCGGCGGUUGGGGAUGGACUCGCGGCUUAUCAGCUUGUUGGUGGGGUAGUGGCUUACCAAGGCUUUGACGGGUAGCCGGCCUGAGAGGGUGACCGGCCACAAUAGGACUGAGAUACGGCCCAGACUCCUACGGGAGGCAGCAGUGGGGAAUAUUGCACAAUGGGCGGAAGCCUGAUGCAGCAACGCCGCGUGCGGGAUGACGGCCUUCGGGUUGUAAACCGCUUUCGCCUGUGACGAAGCGUGAGUGACGGUAAUGGGUAAAGAAGCACCGGCUAACUACGUG